CUAGAAAAUUGCUUGAUUGAUUAUUAAUAAAUGUAAGCAAUCUAUCAUGUAGGUUUUGUUCGAUCCUACACUUAAAGAAAAUCAUACUGAAGAUCUGAGCUUAAGUGUUCCAACAGCUGAAGCACCAGCUCAAGAUGAAGGGAAUCUUUUAAUAUGAUUGUAGAUCCAUUCCCGUAAAGUGCAGUUAGAAUAUGGAAUCCACCUCGAACUCGGUUUAAAAAACAGAAAGCAUAUGGAAUUUUGCUCUAUCAGGUAGCAAUUUGGUUGUUCAAUCCAUCCAUAGUUACAUUUGAAGAUAUAUUGUUGAAUUUCCUUAUUUUGUGAAUACAAGUCUGAACUUUUAGGACAUCUGGCACAUGAGUUUGAACCAUCCAAUUAUAGUGCUACUAAUUUUGGGUCACUACAUCAUGCAAUACUAUGGAUGCUGUUUAACAUGGCAAAGUUGGAUUUUUUUAUUCUUUUUUCAGAUUAGAAUCACUUUAGCAAUGCCAUAUAGAUAAUACAAGAUGUGGCAAAGUGUUGCAUUCAAUAGAGAUUACAGUGAUAAAUUGGUGAAAUUAGUUUGCUCUCUGAUCUCUGUUAGCUUUAACUCGCUAGGAAGCCAUGUAGUCCUAUUUUUAGUACUAGGAGGAGAACGUAUAUUAAAUAUAUGCCAUCCAGGGAAUUGAUCUCUGUUGUGCUGGGGCAAACUAAGCCAGAGCAAGCACUUACUCAAGGCAAGGAGCAGUGCUCGUACUUGCUCAUGGUUGAGGUAGAUUCAGGUUAAAUUUUAUGUGUUGAUUCCCUUCUCUUUCACAUGUCUAGGUCUUUGUGCCUGAUCAAGCUGUUCUUUGACAAGUAUUAUCUUUGAGUGAUGCCAUGUUGGUAAUAAAAUACUAUAUAACUCACAUUUCUUAUAUGUUCCUUUUUCAUUUUUGUCCUUUCAUUUGAAAGCUCAUAUGGUCAAUUUUGGAGGCGACUACAUGUAUAUACUGCUGAUGUUACAUGUAAACAAAUUCGAUGCUUUCAUGCAUAUGACCGUGCACAUCACCGAACCCUUUCCAUUCUAUUGCAAGGUCAAAUAGUUUUUCGUGUUCUAACUCUUUGGGAUAGUCUGCAGUUAUUUGGUUCAUCGUCGCGCCUCAAGUUUCCAACAGCGCCGUGGCUGUACACCGUCGACUUCGCCGGAAAUCCUUCUGCACAUACUCUACUGUCCGCUGAAACUUUGUCUGACCUGAGUUAUUUGGCUCAUCUUCACGCCUCAAGUUUCCGACAGCGCCGUGGCUGUACACCGCCGACUUCGCCGGAAAUCUGUCUGCACAUACUCUACUAUCCGCCGAAACUUCGUCUGACCUGAGCUGAUGGGGAUGAGAUGUGACCCCGCUGCUGGGCGUCGCAAAUGCCACUGCUCCAAUGUGUGCCCCAGCUUCGGUGAUGUACGGGCGAGGCAACACGAUUUGGAGCAGUGACCCUCCUUCCAAGAAAUCAAGUUUUUUCGUUCAGAUUUUAGAGCUCGAGUUUCAGCUUAGUUCAAGGAUAGAAAAGCAUAGUCCUUAUGGAUUCAACAAGGAAGACCAUUAGCCGCCACCUUUUCAGAAUUGGAUGGGGUGGUGCACCUUCAUCCUGCUGUCCAAUUCCUUAGCUUAUUUGCUUUAACUGUACUACAGUUAUAUAGCAGGAUAAGGAUCCAAUCUUGUGAUGCCUCUCCAUUUGCACCAUCGUCAAAAGUUGCACAUGAGUUGAUUCAGACUUUCAGAAUUCAUAGAACACCUAGAGUUAAUCGGCCUGAAGGUAUAUCAUAUCCUAAGGGAAGGGGACCCGGUUCAGAUUUGUCACUACUAUGUGCUGUUGGAUAGCCAUGGUAUGUAUUAGUUUUGUUUUACCACAGUUUGAUUCUUGGGAGUUGGGAUAUCAGGUGUAUACAUUACUUUUCUUAUGAAU